UACAUGUGGGGCAAGCGUUGUUCGGAAUUACUGGGCCUAAAGGGUGCGUAGGUGGUUUGUUAAGUCAGGGGUGAAAUCCCGCGGCCCAACCGUGGAACUGCCUUUGAUACUGGCGAACUUGAGUGCGUGAGGGGUAGGGGGAACGAGCAGUGUAGCGGUGAAAUGCGUAGAUAUUGCUCGGAAGGCCAGAGCCGAAGGGGCCCAACUGGUGCGUAACUGACACUGAGGCACGAAAGCGUGGGGAGCAAACAGG
rnacentral:rRNA from 1 species